rnacentral:rRNA from 1 species
AGUGGGGAAUAUUGGACAAUGGGGGCAACCCUGAUCCAGCCAUGCCGCGUGUGUGAAGAAGGCCUUCGGGUUGUAAAGCACUUUUGUUGGGGAAGAAACCGGCCGGGUUAAUACCCUGGUUGAAUGACGGUACCCAAAGAAUAAGCACCGGCUAACUUCGUGCCAGCAGCCGCGGUAAUACGAAGGGUGCAAGCGUUAAUCGGAAUUACUGGGCGUAAAGCGUGCGCAGGCGGUUAUAUAAGACAGAUGUGAAAUCCCCGGGCUCAACCUGGGAACUGCAUUAGUGACUGUAUAGCUGGAGUGCGGCAGAGGGGGAUGGAAUUCCGCGUGUAGCAGUGAAAUGCGUAGAUAUGCGGAGGAACACCGAUGGCGAAGGCAAUCCCCUGGGCCUGCACUGACGCUCAUGCACGAAAGCGUGGGGAGCAAACAGGAUUAGAUACCCUGGUAGUCCACGCCCUAAACGAUGUCAACUGGUUGUUGGGAAUUCACUUUCUCAGUAACGAAGCUAACGCGUGAAGUUGACCGCCUGGGGAGUACGGCCGCAAGGUUAAAACUCAAAGGAAUUGACGGGGACCCGCACAAGCGGUGGAUGAUGUGGUUUAAUUCGAUGCAACGCGAAAAACCUUACCCACCUUUGACAUGUAUGGAAGAUCGCAGAGACGCGAUUGUGCUCGAAAGAGAGCCAUAACACAGGUGCUGCAUGGCUGUCGUCAGCUCGUGUCGUGAGAUGUUGGGUUAAGUCCCGCAACGAGCGCAACCCUUGUCAUUAGUUGCUACAUUCAGUUGGGCACUCUAAUGAGACUGCCGGUGACAAACCGGAGGAAGGUGGGGAUGACGUCAAGUCCUCAUGGCCCUUAUAGGUGGGGCUACACACGUCAUACAAUGGCUGGUACAAAGGGUUGCCAACCCGCGAGGGGGAGCUAAUCCCAUAAAGCCAGUCGUAGCCCGGAUCGUAGUCUGCAACUCGACUACGUGAAGUCGGAAUCGCUAGUAAUCGUGGAUCAGAAUGUCACGGUGAAUACGUUCCCGGGUCUUGUACACACCGCCCGUCACACCAUGGGAGCGGGUUCUGCCAGAAGUAGGUAGCCUAACCGUAAGGAGGGCGCUUACCACGGCGGGGUUCGUGACUGGGGUG